CCUGGCUCAGAUUUGACGCUGGCGGCAGGCCUAACACAUGCAAGUCGAGCGGAUGAAGGGAGCUUGCUCCUGGAUUCAGCGGCGGACGGGUGAGUAAUGCCUAGGAAUCUGCCUGGUAGUGGGGGAUAACGUCCGGAAACGGGCGCUAAUACCGCAUACGUCCUGAGGGAGAAAGUGGGGGAUCUUCGGACCUCACGCUAUCAGAUGAGCCUAGGUCGGAUUAGCUAGUUGGUGGGGUAAAGGCCUACCAAGGCGACGAUCCGUAACUGGUCUGAGAGGAUGAUCAGUCACACUGGAACUGAGACACGGUCCAGACUCCUACGGGAGGCAGCAGUGGGGAAUAUUGGACAAUGGGCGAAAGCCUGAUCCAGCCAUGCCGCGUGUGUGAAGAAGGUCUUCGGAUUGUAAAGCACUUUAAGUUGGGAGGAAGGGCAGUAAGUUAAUACCUUGCUGUUUUGACGUUACCAACAGAAUAAGCACCGGCUAACUUCGUGCCAGCAGCCGCGGUAAUACGAAGGGUGCAAGCGUUAAUCGGAAUUACUGGGCGUAAAGCGCGCGUAGGUGGUUCAGCAAGUUGGAUGUGAAAUCCCCGGGCUCAACCUGGAACUGCAUCCAAAACUACUGAGCUAGAGUACGGUAGAGGGUGGUGGAAUUUCCUGUGUAGCGGUGAAAUGCGUAGAUAUAGGAAGGAACACCAGUGGCGAAGGCGACCACCUGGACUGAUACUGACACUGAGGUGCGAAAGCGUGGGGAGCAGACAGGAUUAGAUACCCUGGUAGUCCACGCCGUAAACGAUGUCGACUAGCCGUUGGGAUCCUUGAGAUCUUAGUGGCGCAGCUAACGCGAUAAGUCGACCGCCUGGGGAGUACGGCCGCAAGGUUAAAACUCAAAUGAAUUGACGGGGGCCCGCACAAGCGGUGGAGCAUGUGGUUUAAUUCGAAGCAACGCGAAGAACCUUACCUGGCCUUGACAUGCUGAGAACUUUCCAGAGAUGGAUUGGUGCCUUCGGGAACUCAGACACAGGUGCUGCAUGGCUGUCGUCAGCUCGUGUCGUGAGAUGUUGGGUUAAGUCCCGUAACGAGCGCAACCCUUGUCCUUAGUUACCAGCACCUCGGGUGGGCACUCUAAGGAGACUGCCGGUGACAAACCGGAGGAAGGUGGGGAUGACGUCAAGUCAUCAUGGCCCUUACGGCCAGGGCUACACACGUGCUACAAUGGUCGGUACAAAGGGUUGCCAAGCCGCGAGGUGGAGCUAAUCCCAUAAAACCGAUCGUAGUCCGGAUCGCAGUCUGCAACUCGACUGCGUGAAGUCGGAAUCGCUAGUAAUCGUGAAUCAGAAUGUCACGGUGAAUACGUUCCCGGGCCUUGUACACACCGCCCGUCACACCAUGGGAGUGGGUUGCUCCAGAAGUAGCUAGUCUAACCGCAAGGGGGACGGUUACCACGGAGUGAUUCAUGACUGGGGUGAAGUCGUAACAAGGUAGCCGU
rnacentral:rRNA from 1 species